GACGAACGCUGGCGGCGUGCUUAACACAUGCAAGUCGAACGGAAAGGCCCUGCUUUUGUGGGGUGCUCGAGUGGCGAACGGGUGAGUAACACGUGAGUAACCUGCCCUUGACUUUGGGAUAACUUCAGGAAACUGGGGCUAAUACCGGAUAGGAGCUCCUGCUGCAUGGUGGGGGUUGGAAAGUUUCGGCGGUUGGGGAUGGACUCGCGGCUUAUCAGCUUGUUGGUGGGGUAGUGGCUUACCAAGGCUUUGACGGGUAGCCGGCCUGAGAGGGUGACCGGCCACAUUGGGACUGAGAUACGGCCCAGACUCCUACGGGAGGCAGCAAUGGGGAAUAUUGCACAAUGGGCGGAAGCCUGAUGCAGCAACGCCGCGUGCGGGAUGACGGCCUUCGGGUUGUAAACCGCCUUCGCCUGUGACGAAGCGUGAGUGACGGUAAUGGGUAAAGAAGCACCGGCUAACUACGUG
rnacentral:rRNA from 1 species